rnacentral:rRNA from 1 species
UACGAAGGGUGCAAGCGUUAAUCGGAAUUACUGGGCGUAAAGCGUGCGUAGGCGGUUGGCUAAGUCAGAUGUGAAAGCCCUGGGCUCAACCUGGGAAUGGCAUUUGAAACUGGCCGGCUAGAGUGUGAUAGAGGAUGGCGGAAUUCCCGGUAUAGCGGUGAAAUGCGUAGAGAUCGGGAGGAACAUCCGUGGCGAAGGCGGCCAUCUGGAUCAACACUGACGCUGAGGCACGAAAGCGUGGGGAGCAAACAGG